UUGGAAGGGAUCAGCAGAGUACAAAUAUUCUUCGGAAUUAGUAUUUCGGAUUAUUCUUUAGCAUAAAAAGCUUGUCCAUGCCAUUUACCGUUUCGUGGUCUUACAUCGUAGUAUCUUAUAUUAUGACACUUAAAUUGAAGUUCAGGUCGUUGGCCUUUUCAAUACGUUUACCAAUAUGCCUUCCUUCAAAAAAGUCGUACGCUGAUCCUCAUGUUUUCUGUUUUUGAAAGGGAUCAGCAGACUACGAAUAUUCUUCGGAAUUAGUAUUUCGGAUUAUUCUUUACCGUAAAAAAAUUGUCCAUGUCAUUUAUCGCUUUGUGAUAUGCUAUCGUAGUAUUUUAUAACAUGAUACUUAGGUUGACGGUCCGGUAGUUGGCCUUUCUAAUGCGUUUACCAAUAUGUCUCCCUUCAAAGAAGUCGUACGCUGAUCCUCAUAUUUCCUGUUAUUGGAAGGGAAUAUUCUUCGGAAUUAGUAUUUCGGAUUAUUCUUUACCGUAAAAAAAUUGUCCAUGUCAUUUAUCGCUUUGUGAUAUGCUAUCGUAGUAUUUUAUAACAUGAUACUUAGGUUGACGGUCCGGUAGUUGGCCUUUUCAAUACGUUUACCAAUAUGCCUUCCUUCAAAAAAGUCGUACGCUGAUCCUCAUGUUUUCUGUUUUUGAAAGGGAUCAGCAGACUACGAAUAUUCUUCGGAAUUAGUAUUUCGGAUUAUUCUUUACCGUAAAAAAAUUGUCCAUGUGAUUUAUCGCUUCGUGAUAUGAUAUCGUAGUAUUUUAUAACAUAAUACUUAGGUUGACGGUCCGGUAGUUGGCCUUCGUGUAAAUUUUGUAUAGUUUAUAUUUUAUUAACAGAUAGUUCUAAGUAAUUUAAUUCGAGAAGCUUAAGGUUUUUGAUUAUUGUUAUUCGGUUACCGAUUAGAAUUAAUUCCUUGAGAUUGAAUUAUUUGUCUAAGCAUUGUAAUUUGGUUAUUUUAUUGUUUGAUAAAAUUAAAUUUCUGAGAUUUAUCAAAUUGUCAAGUCCUUUAAUAGAUCUUAUACAAUUAUCGGACAAGUGGAUCUCUGUGAGGUCGGUCAAAUUGUCAAGGUUGAUUAUUUCAGCUAUGUCUAUGUUGUAAGUAGGAUCUAAUUUAACGAGUUUAGAUAAAUUGUCAAGGUUUUUAAUCUCACUUAAAACAUUGAAUGAUAAAUCCAAAUCCCAUAUAUUUGGUGGUAAUUUUUUGGGAAUUUUGGUAAAAUGGCUGCAUGUUAAUUCUAAGCGUUGCAAAUUGGGGGAAUUUUUCAAAAUAGUUUGAUUUCAGUUUGAUGUACUUCACAGUUUUAUUAAAAUU